AUGUUAGACUUCUUCUGUAACAGUUUGUUACUGGACAUUUCAAGGCUUUUCAGUUACAGAUUUUGGCCUCUCCUCCUCCUUUUGGUUUUGGCUCAAAUGAUUAUGUUUCCUCAUUUUGGGAAGAUUUCUCUGUGUAUUUUGAUAUUUGUCCUGAUAGAAGGAAACCUUCCAUCAUUAACAGCACAAACCUACUUAUCUUUAGAAGAGACCCAAGAACCCAAGGGUACAGUUUCUUUUCUCCAGACUGACUCAGAAUCCACAGAUUCUUCUCUAUCUGCUAAAAAGAAACAACCUCUGGACAACAGAGAAACUGAGAGACAUUGGUUGCUCAGAAGAAAGCGAUCUACUUUAUUUCCUAAUGGUGUGAAAACUUGCCCAGAUGAAAGUGUUACAGAGGCUGUGGCAAACCAUCUGAAGUAUUUUAAAGUCCGAGUAUGCCAGGAAGCUGUCUGGGAAGCCUUCAGGACUUUUUGGGAUCGACUUCCUGGGCGUGAGGAAUAUCAUUAUUGGAUGAAUUUGUGUGAGGAUGGAAUCACGACUAUAUUUGAAAUGGGCACACAUUUUAGUCAGUCUGUGGAACACAGAAGCUUAAUUAUGCAGAAACUGACAUAUGCAAAGGAGACUGUAAGUGGCUCUGAAUUGUCAUCUCCAGUUCCUGUUGGUGACAUGUCAACACUGGGAGAUGCUGGUCUCAGUGUUCCAUAUCCAGGGGUGACCUCCUAUGAAGGUAUCUCAGAGAGCAGCUUGGAGAGGCCAGACGACAGUAUUAGCAAUGAAAUUGAGAAUAUGAUAGAAGAAUCCAGAAAAACAGCUGCUGAGCAGGUUGCAGAAUUCAGUAUCCACCUUUUGGGGGAACAGUACAAUGAAGAACUACAGGACCCCUCUAGCUUUCACCACCAGCGCCUUGUAGAAGACUUUAUUUCAGAGGUGGAAAAUGCAUUUACUGGGUUACCGGGCUACAAGGACAUUCGUGUACUUGACUUUAGGUCCCCUAAGGAAAAUGACAGUGGCAUAGAUGUUCACUAUGCAGUUACCUUCAAUGGGGAGGCUAUCAGCAAUACCACCUGGGACCUAAUUAGCCUACAUUCCAACAAGGUGGAAAACCAUGGUCUUGUAGAAUUGGAUGAUAAACCCACUGCCGUUUAUACAAUUAGUAACUUCAGAGAUUAUAUUGCUGAGACACUGCACCAGAAUUUUUUGCUGGGGAGCUCUUCUUUGAAUCCAGAUCCUGACUCCCUUCAGCUUAUCAAUGUGAGAGGGGUUUUACUUCCCCAAAGUGAAGACCAAGUUUGGAACACUCAAAGUUCAAGUCUUCAGCAAGCCCCGCCAUCUAUUCUGGAUAAUACCCCUCAAGCUGAAUGGCCCUCAGCAGAUGAAUCCACCACGAGCAGUAUUUCACCACUUGGUUUCAGCUCUGGCCUUCCUUCAGCCACUGACAGGGAACUCUGGUCAGAAAGCCCUUUGGGUGAUUUAGUGUCUACACCCAAAUUAGCCUUUCCCUUGGAGGUGAGCCUCAGUUCUUCCCCAGAGGUUUUAGACCUUAGCGGCUUGACUCUUCAUUCUAUCACCCCAGCAGUGCUUCAGACUGACCUGCCUGUGGCUUCUGAAGAAAGGCCUUCUGGGUCUCACUCAUUAGAAGAUGGAUUAAUGAAAGUUGAAGGGUCAGAAGAUUUUCUUUCUGUCAAUCCAUUGCCUUCAAGUCCAUUUACUUAUCCUGUGCCAAAAGGAACACCACCAUCCAUGGAAGACUCUGGGGUAUCUUUGCCAUCCUCACCAUAUCCAGUCUCCUCUGUCACAUUUGAUCUUCUUGCUAAAGAAGUAACUACACCGUUUGGCAUGGACUCUUUGGCCUCCAAAGUCAAAGACCAAUUAGAAGUGAGCACUUGGAUGCCAGACACAGCUAUGGAAAAAGAGUUCAUGUUUGAAAGUGGUUUGGGUUCAGGGUCUGGGCAAAAGGAAGACCUGAUUACCUGGCCAUGGAGUGAGACUUCAUUAGAGAAGAGCACUGAACCAUUGUCCAAGUCAUGGCUUGAAGCUGAGGAUUCACUUUUGCUAACUGAGGGUAUAGAUGUGAGACUAGUUAUAGAUGACAAAAUAGAUUCUGCAUAUCAACAUACUGAGCAUUCAGAAUAUGGGCCUUUUAAUGGGUCUACAAACUUUGCAGAAGAUGAGCCCCUUAGUGGACCUACUGUGUCCCUCUUUGCAGAGACCAGAACUCAAUCUGCAUCUCCAAUUCUACCCAAACACACAUCAGAGGUACCCGACACUGAUUAUUACUCAGUUACCAAAUCACCUCCUCUGUUGACAUUUGUGGCAGUCUCUGCUUCUACUGAUAAACCAGAUCAAGUAGAACAUUUUCUAAAGGAGGAUAUGGAGCAGACUACAGAGUCAUUUAACCGUGAAUGGUUUGACAAUAAGAUUUCAAUAGAAAAGUCAGAUGUGCAGCUUUUGAGGACCACAGUGCCAGAGUCAGAUGUCAUUUGGGCAAGAACUUCUCCCUUAGGGAAACUGUCCAGAGACACAUCGGCAAGUACACCACAGAGUACUGACAAGCCCUGGUCGAAAGCUUCCAUGACACAGUCUGCCAAAUUGCCUUCAACCAUAAGUUCCGCCCUGCUGGAAGAUGAAGUCAUUAUGGGUGUACAGGAUAUUUCAUUAGAGUUGGACCAGAUAGGCACAGAUUACUAUCAGCCUGAGCUAAUCCCUGAGGAAAGUGGCAUGGUUGGUAGUUAUGUGGAAAUGUCUACAAAUAUCCACUCCACAGAGAUGGCUGUUGUGGCUCAACCCACAAGAAGUGAUGACUUGAGUCAUACCCAAGCCGCUGGAGCUGUGGUGGUUUUCUUCAGCCUCAGAGUGACUAACAUGAUGUUUUCAGAAGAUCUGUUUAAUAAAAACUCUUUGGAGUAUAAAGCCCUGGAGCAAAGAUUCUUAGAACUGCUGGUUCCCUAUCUCCAAUCAAAUCUCACUGGAUUCCAGAAUUUAGAAAUCCUGAACUUCAGAAAUGGCAGUAUUGUGGUGAAUAGCCGAAUGAAGUUCACCAGGUCUGUCCUUCCUAACGUCACCAGUGCUGUCUAUGUGAUUCUGGAAGACUUUUGCACUACUGCCUACCAAACCAUGAACUUGGCUAUUGAUAAAUACUCCCUUGAUGUGGAAUCAGGUGAUCAAGCCAACCCUUGCAAGUUUCAAGCAUGCAAUGAAUUUUCUGAGUGUUUGGUCAAUCCCUGGAGUGGAGAGGCAGAGUGCAGAUGCUACCCUGGGUACCUGAGUGUGGAAGAGCUGCCCUGUCAGAGUCUCUGUGACCUACAGCCCAACUUCUGCUUGAAUGAUGGGAAGUGUGACAUCAUGCCUGGACAUGGGGCCAUUUGCAGGUGCCGGGUGGGUGAGAACUGGUGGUACCGUGGUGAGCACUGCGAAGAGUUUGUGUCUGAGCCCUUGGUGAUCGGCAUCACCAUUGCCUCCAUGAUUGGACUUGUCCUCAUUUCUUCUGCUGCAGUCUUCUUCAUCAUCAAGGCUAUUCAAGCUGAAUAUGUUAGGAGGGAAAGAGGGAGACCCUCCAGGCAGCGAGAUGGCCUCUCGUCUGUAGAAAGAGCCGUGAAGCACAACCCCGUAUUUGAAAGUUACGAGGCCGACCUUGAGCAGUAUGAGGGCCCCUACCCUCAGCGGCCCUUCUACAGCUCAGACAGAGAGAUGAUUGCUGGUCUGAGUAGGGAAGAGAUCAGACAAAUGUAUGAGAACAGUGACCUUUCCAGAGAGGAAAUCCAAGAAAGAAUGAGAAUUUUGGAACUCUAUGCCAGGGAUCCUGAGUUUGCAGCUUUUGUCAGAGAACAUCAAAUCAGGGAAGAGCUUUAAUCAAAACUCAUAUUUGCAACUGAUUAGAAGCCUAGAGAAGAUGGAGAUCGCUCAUUACAUCAUAUUAAUUAACCUGGAUUUGGAACUCUGUUGAAAGAAGAAUUUUCUAUUAAAAAAUUAAAUUCGGGACUCAAAAUUUUUUUCUAGUUUAAAAUUUUAGAAUUUGGCCAGAGAUGUGAUGGUAUUUAUAUCCACAAAGACCAAAAGCUGUAUUUCAGUUCAGUUCAGUCACUCAGUUGUGUCUGAACAUUCUUUUGCAAGCCCAUGGACUGCAGCACGCCAGGCCUCCCUGUCCAUCACCAGCUCUUGGAGUUUAUUCAAAGUCAUGUCCAUUGAGUCAGUGAUGCCAUCCAACCAUCUCAUCCUCUGUCAUUCCCUUCUCCUCCCGCCUUCCAUCUUUCCCAGCAUCACGGUCUUUUCAACAUCAGGUGGCCAAAGGAUUGGAGUUUCAGCUUCAGCAUCAAUCCUUCCAAUGAAUAUUCAGGACUGAUCUCCUUUAGGAUGGACUGGUUGAAUCUCCUUGCAGUCCAAGGGACUCUCAAGAGUCUUCUCCAAGACCACAGUUCAAAAGCAUCAAUUCUUCAGCACUCAGCUUUGUUUGUAGUCCAGCUCUCACAUCCAUACAUGACUACUGAAAAAACCACAGCUUUGACUAGACAGACGUUUGUUGGCAAAGUAAUGUCUCUGCUUUUUAAUAUUCUGUCUAGGCUGGUCAUAGUUUUUCUUCCAAGAAGGAAGCGUCUUUUAAUUUCAUGGCUGCAGUCACCAUCUGCAGUGAUUUUGGAGCCCCCCAAAAUAAAGACUGUCACUGUUUCCGUUUCCCCCA
rnacentral:lncRNA from 1 species